AAAUUUUACAACUUUAAUCUUGAGAUUGUUUAAUUGUUUUAUGAUUGCUUGGCCCUAAUCCUCUUCCGUAUAUCUUUAUGUGCCCAGUAUUAUUAUAUAACAACAAAAAUUAAAUUUUACUAUAAUAAAAUUAACCUUUUCAUAGGUCGUAUACAUUCCAACCCAGUUUUCCUCUGUGGGCUGUAGCAUUCUUAAUAAAACCCCAGUAUUUUCCCCUUUAACCAAUUUAGAAACUUUUACAUCACGGCUAUAUUUAAGGUGUAAGCGAAUGUGGUAUUAGUUUCCUGCUUUAUGGCGUAUAUAAGGGUUAGAGUGCAGAAUGAGAUCAUUAUCUCUAGAAAGCAUCCCUGCGAACAAGAACAUGAAACUGCUAAGUCUUCUCGUCACACUGCUUGCUCUUAGCUAUGUGAACUCGAACACCGCUAAAACCUUCUCUGAACUUCUGCACAGGCUUGAAAGACUUAAGAAGCAUCAGUUCAAUGUAAGUGAAUGAUUUUUGCAUUAAGGCGUGAGAGAGAAAGACUUGUGUUUAGGUAAUGGUUGCUUGCCAUACUGAUCAUGCUUGAUUUAGUUCUUAAACAUAGUUAAACACCAUGUCUAAAGAGAGAAAUAUUUGUCAUUGGCUACUAAUAUGGACUAAUAAGAGUUAAUAUGUUGCACACAUUCUCUGAUAUCAUCUGACUUGUGUUUCAAUUUCCAGGCACUCAGUAUAUCAGAAGCAAUCCAAACACCUCGAGAUGUAAAGAAUGCAUGUGAGUGCAAGGACUUAUUUGCAGAACGCCUGAAGCACUUUCUGAAGUCAGUUAAAAGUGUAGUACCCAAAAUCCAGUUUGCCAACAUUUUGGACAACGUGCAGUCUUUCUCUCAUCCUGGAGUCAGCGCGAAUGACAACUGUAACUUCACAAAGCAUAACCUAAAAACAUUGACAUCAGACGAUUUGAAGAAGUUGAUUCAGGAUAACAUUCAUUUCAUCCAAAACUGGAAUGCACACUGCAAACCAAAUCAUUAAUAAUGCAAGUCACAAAAGUAACUAAACAGACGCCCUGCUAUAGAGAUGUAAAUUAUAUAUUUAUUUGUUCAAA
rnacentral:lncRNA from 1 species